rnacentral:misc_RNA from 1 species
CAGAGUUCAUGCCCUCACGGGUAGAUCUCCCACCCUUGAAUACUAUACCUUAGUUGCUUUGGCAGGCCGGGGCAACCCCGCGGGCUUCGGCUCACGAGUGCCUGCCAGAGGAACCAAACUCUGUUUUUAGUGAUGUCUGAGUACUAUAUAAUAGUUA